rnacentral:RNase_P_RNA from 1 species
CGAGUCGGCCGGGUGAUCGCGGCCCUUCGGGGCUGAGGAAAGUCCGGACUCCACACGGCAGGGUGGUGGGUAACGCCCACCCGGGGUGACCCGCGGGACAGUGCCACAGAGAACAGACCGCCCCUUCGCGAGGAGGGGUAAGGGUGAAACGGCGGUGUAAGAGACCACCGCGUCGCUGGUGACAGCGACGGCACGGCAAACCCCACCCGGAGCAAGGCCAAGAAGGGCUUCGGCCCGCGGACGCCGCCCGAGCGCUGCCCGCGCGAGGCGUCCGGGUAGGCCGCACGACAUCGCCGGCGCACGCGCCGGUGGAUCGGAGGCCGCCGGCGACGGCGGUCACAGAUGGAUGAUCACCGUCGACAGAAUCCGGCUUACAGGCCGACUCGUCCC